GAUGAUCUCCCUGCUGGUCUACCGUCAACGCCGAUUCAUGUCAGGCCUUAACCUCCCACAUUUGGCAUUUGUUUCAGAUGGCUGCUCCACCGGAUUUCAUCAUUGCCACUGUCCGCCAAAACUUAGCCUCAUACAUUUGCUUGAGAUAGUCUCCUUGCUGGUCUGCCGUCUCCUUGCUGGUCUGCCUUGCUGGUCUGCCGUGGCCUUAACCUGAUGUUUCUGCCUGAUAGUCUUUCUGGUCCAUCGUCAUAAUAGCUUUUUGUCGGGCCUUAGUCUCAUGCAUUUAUCUGAGAUGAUCUCCCUGCAUGUCUACCGUCAUCACCGCUGAACGUCGGGCAUUAGCCUCCCUGAUUUAUUUCAGAUGAUUCCCCCCACUGGUGUACGGUCAUCGCGACUGAACGUAUGACCUUAGCCUCACGCAUUUGUUUCAGGUGGCUGCUCUGCUGGCACCAAUCUUUACGGGAAUAAAAUGCCGUGCUCCUGGUGUCGAGAAAACAGCAGGCACAAAUUGUUGGCAUGCUGCUCGGCGAAGAACUGGGUGACUUGCACGAACAUUUAAUAACGAAAAUGUUGAAUUUAGGAACACGUUCUCAAAUGAUCCAUGGACAACGCCUAGACGGCUCUAUAACGCGUUCCUAAAUUCGUUACUAUUUUCGUGCCCAGGAGGCCCCUUCGCAGCAACCAGUGCGCAUGCGCAAAAAGAAGUCACAGGCCUGCGCGGCACACGCAGCAGAGUCACAGCGUAAGCUGGUGGAGCGGCUCAACAGUAGCUCCGAUUUGGGCACCACGUACAACAGGGUCUUCGCGGCAGUCUGUUCGCCUCGUUUUGACGAGAACGAUCUGAACUGUCCGCCCGGCGUCGACGGCGAGCUGAGGCUUGUUAUGCUCUCUGCACAGCAGUCUACUGAACCCGAUCAAGCCUUACAACUGCAACUUACAUGUCGGGCGCGCCGCGUUUGCAAGCACCUCAACUAGAUGGCGCCACCACACUGGCGGAGGCUUGGCAGCUCGGGAGCACGUUGAUUGCGUGCCUCGUCUGAAUCGCAUAUCGUCGUCUGCGCCUGCGGACGCUGCGUUUGCAGGGAUCUUAUCUAGAUGACGCCACCACACUGGCGGAGGCUCGGGUCAUCUCUCCCUGCGUGCUUGUAUUAAGGGUAUUUCCGCGGCCCGAUAGCAAGCGCUUGCGUGACUCAGGGGUAGAGUAUCCGGCUCCCACUCAGCGAGCGCGGGAUCGAUCCCGGCGGGAAUCGCGUACUUUUUUCGCGUUUCCGGCGAACUCUGCCAACAACUCUGAAUCGCGUACUCUGCCAACAACCGCGCUCGUCGCUCGAUCCGCCCGCACCGUCUCUUAUCUUCCCACGGCUCAGACCUUUAUGCGCCGUGCAUUCGCCGCUCAGUUUCCGUUGAAGCGAUAGACCGCACGUACCUUCGCCGCUUCGGCGUAUGCGCUUGCUGCCAGCGUUCUGACAGUCGUCUGCAGUAAUUCAGUGUGAUCUAUUCAUGUUUGUUUGUGCGCGCUCACACCACGCUUGUUCAUUCAGUUAGUAAUAGUCGGGCCACAUUUUCCAACGCACGCUACACAUGCAAUGCUGCCCGGAUCGGCAGUGCAGCGCUACAGGUGUGUCCCUUCGCACGCGCUGCCCACGGGAAGCGCUUCUCAUCAACACCACCGUUUCACACGCGCCUUCUCGUGGUCAUCGAGUCUCUCUUCAUGUCGGUCUACUUACGCCGCAGCACACAUGCUUACUUAAUCAGCUCAUGUUUACUACAAUUCAUAUUGCUACCAAAGCCGCUCACCUUACUUCGUAUGACAUUGCUGUGUUGCUAUCGCAUUCAUUGCUUCGCUCUUAGGGCGAAACUGUGACAUUUUUUUCAGAUGGUCCUCCUACUGGUGUAUCGUCGUCGCAGGUGUCUGUCGGGCCUUAGAAUCACACAUUUCAGGUGUGAGUGAUCUGGCCUUUCCUCCUCUACGGUGUCUGUUUUGCCUUAGCCUCGCGCAUAUUUUCCGAUUUUCCUUCCACUGGUCAUGGGCAUUGCCGCUGUCCGUCGGCCUUAGCGUCAGGUGGUCCUCGGUCUGGUCUUUUCUCCUGACCGCUGUUUGUCUGGCCUUAGCCUCACUCAUUUCUUCAAGUGGUCAUUCAGCUUGUGUGCCGUGGUCACCGCCGUUGUUCGUCGUGCCUUAGCCUCAGGCAUUUCAGGUAGUUCUCGGUCUGGUCUUUCCUCCUGACCGCUGUCCGUCUGGCUUUAGCCACGCACGUUUAACGUGAUCCUCAUUCUCAUCUCUCCACCUCACCGCUGUACGUCGAGCCUAAACCUCGCGCAUUUCAGGUGGUCCUUGGUCUGGUCCUUGGUCUGGUCCUUCCUCGUCACCGCUGUUUGUUGGGCCUUAUCCUCGCACAUUUUUUCAGAUGGUCUCCCAACUGGUGUAUCAUCAUCGCUGUGUCCGUCGGGCCUUAGGCUCACAUAUUGCAGGUGGUCCUCGGUCUGGCCUUUUCUCCUCUCUGGUGUCCAUCGGGCCUUAGUCUCGCGCAUUCUCUAGAUGGUCCUCCUGCUGGUCUAUGGUCAUCGCCACUGUCCGUCGGGCCAAAGCCUCACGCAUUGCAAGUAAUCUUCAAUCUGGUAUUUCCUCCUCAUCACUGCCCAUCGGGCCUCAACCUCACGCUUUUUUUUCAGAUGAUCCUUCCGCUGGUGUACCGUGACCGCCGCUCUUCGUCAUGACUUAACCUCACGAAUUUCGCAUGCUCCUUGAUCCGGUCUGCGGGGCGAGGAACAGGCAAGCAGUCCGCAUACGUACGGGGCUGAAUAUCAGCGAACAUGGGGGCCGGUACCACAUCAGUGGGCACCACAUUGGGCAUCUGUGGGUACCGGUGGCUGUGCAGUGCUUGCUGAACCUCAUCGCGGAUAACACUGCCGAUGGAGCCAACCAUUGGCUGUCUCAAUCCGUACAGCUUCUACAUUUCUUCGCGAACGACUGAGCGAACAAUUUCGCGAACCCAUUCGGUGCUACCGCUCCCGAAGGUGGCCAAAAAUUCGGGAGCUGACGUGGCAUUCACCUGCCGGUAGAAGAGGGCAGACCGCUGAUUAAGAACUUUCUCCAUCGUCACAGCUUCAGUGAGGAACUCGGCCACACUUUUUGGAGGGCUUCGCACCAGACCAGUUGCUCCUUCACACCAUGCAUCAGGUGGCGUAACUUUUUGUCCUCUGGCAUAGCAGGAUCCGCUCGUUUGAAAAGUCGAGUCAUAUCUUCGACGUACAUGGUGACGGACUCAUUCAGCAUCUGAACGGGGGAUUGUAGUUCACGCUCAGCGCGUUCGCGGCGGUCGGUGUUCCUGUAGCACUCCAGAAGGUGAUGUCGGAAUUCACGCCAGGAUGUUAACACGUCUUCCCUAUUUUGGAACCACGCGCGGGCGGCAUCCUUUAAGCUGUAGUACACGCGCCGGAGUUUUGUGGCAUCAUCCCAGCAGUUGGUCGCAGCGACGCGUUCAAACUCACUCAGCCAGUCAUCCACGCCCUCAUAUAAAUCUCCGUGAAAGGCAGGGGGUGGCAGCGGGUUCUGAAGGGUACAAUAUGUCGGAAGAAGAAGCGUCGGAACUUCCGUGGUGAUUUGAGACGACGUCAUAGCAGGCUGUCCUGGUGUCUCUGGUGGUAAGCCUCGUUGUCGACGGCUUGCUUUGUGAACUGGGGUGUUCACGGGCGUAGGACUCGGGUUCCUGCUGCUGGACGGGGUCUUGUGCAUGGGAUACCCAGCACCUCCCAGCACCUCCAUAGUUUUGUCACGCGGUUGGACAACGAGGCGAACAAGGUGACAAGGUGGUUUAGUGCUGGCUCAAAACAAUUCAGUCGGAUCCUCUACUUUCUCGUCUUCUCCGUGUGCUUUCUCCCCAAAACACUAGGUGGCAAUGUUAGCAAUGUGUCUCUUCGCAUUCCUGAACGAUUGCUGCUUAGCCGUCGUGAUCCGAGGGCACGGCCUCCAUUUGCAGUAACAUACUCAAUAUGCGGUAGAGAACUGAGUUUACUGUCAUAAAUCACCCCAAUGUACUUCGUUUUUUCAACUUGGGGGAUUAGUUUAUUCUUGUUAACAGACAUAUACAUACACUGGACUCUUCAGCGGAAAAGCGAAAAUGGCACUAAAGAACUCUUGCUGUUGUUGACCUGAGUGGUUGUGGCGCAUACCCACAGUGGGGUAUUGGCCAUGGAUCGGGUGGUUAAAUAAGGCGUAUAAAAACAAUGGAAUUAACAAUUUGAACUUUGGAACUUGAAAGUGUAAAAUUUCUGUGAGAGAAAGAAAGCUAUCAGAAGAAAGGAAGGAAGGAAGAAAGACAGAAAGAAAGAAAGAAAGAAAGAAGAAAGAAAGAAAGAAAGAAAGAAAGAAAGAAAGAAAGAAAUCUUUAUUCCAGCAUAAUGUCGAAAGAUAACUAGGAGGAGGAAUAAACGUUUAUUUUCGAAACAGUAUCCCGGGUGGGAUAUUCUAGGUGGGAGGUCUCCACAGUCCAGGAACCCUCUGGCCUUCACUGACUCCUUGGUCCUGACGAAGAGGCGUCGUUGUUGUUCCAGGUCCUCGGAGACGAGCUUGGCCUCCCACGUUUCGAUGAGGUCUUCGCUUUCUUGUCUGGCGUUAGUCUUUUGGUGAGGGCGAUGCGGCUGUGUUUAGGUGCCAUGGGCACUCAAGGGUCAGGUGCGCCAAGGUAUCCGGUACGCCGCAAAUUGGACAGAGAUAUUCUUGUGGUGUCGGGUAGAUUCUAUGCAUGAGUAUGCCGUGGGUGUAAGUGUUACUUUGCAGACUUCUGAGUGAGGUGCUUUCUUUGUUUAAUCUUGGGUGAGGUGGUGGGUACACCCUGCGCUCCAGCCUGUGAUGUUGAAGGAUCGCUGAGUAUGCGAUAGCUACGUUCUCUGCCCCUGCUGACGCUGGCUGGGCGUGUCGAGAGUAGGAAGGGUUGUUGAUGCUGUUGUUGGCCCGACAGGCAAGAUCACGGGCCGUGGCGUGUGCCGCUUCGUUCCCCUCCAGUCUCUCGUGCCCAGGAACCCAUGCCAUGCAGGUGUACGAGAUCGGAGUGCUUCGGCUCUUCAACAUCUUUAGGGCUUCUGUCGACACGCGACCCUUAGCGAAGUUUCUGACAGUUGCUUGAGAGUAGGAAAAGACGACAGCUGCGUCCAUGCACGCUGUAGUUGCUAGGGUGACCACCAUCUCUUCUGCAGUCUCAGGGUUUUGUGAGGGGACUUUGGCAGACGCUAGCUCUCUGCCCUGGGAAUCUACUACGCUCAGGGCGUAAGCGUUUCUUUGCGGGUAUUUGGCUGCGUCGGUGUAUCUGGCUUCCGGAGCUUGCCUUUGUCUUCGCCGUAAGGUAUCCACUCUGGCUUGUCUUCUUUCAUUAUGAUACGUGGGGUGCAUGAUGCGUGGGAUUGGUGCUAUGGAUGAAAAAAAAAAAAAAAGCUAAGGUUUUGUCAAUAAUAUGGCAUUUACUUCUUCCUUUUUCUUUUUCUUUCUGUCUUUCUGAAGGGAAGAUUUUCAUUUCGAAUAUAUCUAAACGUUAUCGAGAGACUCUGCGAAGUUGGGCUUUUCCACCAAAACGUUUAACAUGGGGAGACGCCCGCUUCCCUAAACGCUUUCGUUUUGUAGGAGCUAUAGCCAUGCAAUACUGCGGCUGUCUCUUCGUAGAUGUUUGUUCACGUGUAUUCGAUAACUACACUCCAGAAGCAGUUUACAGGCUUUGAGGCGUAUAUUUGUCCCACGAAAAUUAGCGUCAUCUAUUUUGCGCGCCUUUUUUUUUUUUUUUUUUUUUCGUUUAGCGCUGAGCGGUUGGUGCCUCAGGUGCCGAACGGCAUGCGGGUAACGAGCGCAUACUGUUCUAUCAGGGACACGCAAGCAAGAUAGAUUACUAUAUAUGGCUUUUGUGGGACAAAAACCUCAUCAAAACUAAAUAAAUUGCAGUCUGUCCAGUGGCAGCAGUUACAAACGAGGACAUACUGCAAUCCAGCAAUGUGGAAUAUACUAUAUCCAGAUAUAUACACGAGAAACGAUCGAAUGCAAGUCAUGCGGCUCAAGAGCAACUCUUGAGCAUAUGCUGUGGGAAUGCUAACGAGGCUAACGAGUAGGACUAACGAGUAGCAACGGGGAGACAGCCUCUAGCGAAAGCCUCCGCGCGCGUUGGUGUGCUGUGCUGCUCAGCUCAGCCCCAGAAAAUAAACUGUGGCCAGUCCAGCGGGCCGACGACGCCGCCAGAGCCCAUGGGCUCGUGGCAAACGCCUAGGCAGGGAGCCCACCCUAUUAACUUACCGUACAAAAAUAAAGUUCUUACUACCUACAACGUGCUUUCGGAAAAAAUCCCUGCCAAAUCACAAAAGAAUCCUUCUACUACCCAUGAUUUUCAUGGUGGCUGAACGAUUGAAGGCGUGAUCUAAAUCUCACCCCGGCGUAGACGGCUUCUUUGUAGUCUUUGCGUGACAGCCGCCAUCUGAAGCUCUGUUUCAAUCUUGACAGAGACGACAAAAAAAAAAAAAAAAGGCAGCCCAGCUUUGAGGAGCUAGCCUUGCAAUUUGCAACGAUGUGGCUAUAUAACGAGCAAACGACACAGAUGGUUGACAGGGCGGGGAAGUACGGCAGUGACUGGAAUCUAAAGACCACCGUUGACCAGACUUCGAGCUUGCUGAAAGCCCUUUAACGUGGCUGGAAUGUCAAGCACAUAGGUGCUGUCUGGAGGACAGGCACCAGGCUUGGGACAACACAGGUCUCGUGAAGCGAUGUGCAAGAGUUGUUAUAAGCUUCAGUAGCUCCUAAUCAGUCGUAGGUUAUGACAUGGAUUAAGAACUAUGGCUGAAAAUAACGUUAUAAAGGUAAGCGAUUAAAAAUUUACUUCGUAGCGAAGAGAGACGCUAGUGGGUCCAGCUCUAGUCUGCCAGACGCUAGUGGGUCCAGCGCUUUUGCUCGCAACGGCGCUUGUGCUUGAAAGCCGUCUCGUUUGACUGUCGACGCUGAGCUGCUCCGAUCUCUAAUAAACCCUUUUACAACUUUCAUACUUUUUUGACAGAUCGGCGUCCUAAAGCAAGUUUCAAAUGAAAUUCAUCAUAUCAUACAGAUAUAAGAAAGAUACACGUUUAGAAGAGCUUUCACGUAAAUAAUUCCUUGUCUAGGAAUAUUGUUCUACGUGACAUUUUAUUCACUUGUGUGCAUAAUGAGAAGGUUAAGCAUCCACUUGUUUCGUUACUACGGCAUAACUAUUCAUCAAGUUCUAUUUACAUAACGUAUUAUCACCUAAUACUGGCGCAGCUUCUUGCCCGAGUCUUUCCACAAGGUGACGCAAAAUGUCCAUACAUGGUUCAAUGAUCCGCGAGUAAAUCGUGCUCAUUACUGAGGAUAAUCGAAAGAUUAUGAAUCUUCUUUUUCGUUGAACGUCGUUUCUAGCACAUAACGCGCAACAAACAUAUUCUAGUACAACGCGCGUCAAACGAUUCGUAAACUUUAUUUUGUACUUUCGUGCCACUGAAACACUGCUUUGUACGGUCGCACAAUGUUCCGUCAUCAUAUGACAUUCUUUUUGGCUCUUUAAUUAUAAAAUUGUGAGACGCGACAAUGAAAAAUGCACAAAACAAGAGUGGGCCAAUGGUUUGUUUUAAAUAAAGCCUGGCAACGCGUGGGGCUCGCCGGCUGUAAACGCCAAUAGCUCUAAGCGUCAUCUCUAGAUACUCGUAUGAAGUAGCCGAGCGCGCACUCAUCCUGCUAUAGUCAACGUCAAAGUCACCAUCGGACGUCCCAAGUCAAGCACACAGAAAAUAAAUUGCUGGCCAAAGGAUCGCGUCCCGCUCACAACUCGUCUGUGACGUAGUUCAAGCCAUAAAAUAUGAAGAACGACAAAGAUGGCCGCUGUGACCUAUUCCAGCUACCUGACAUGUCAUUGCGAGAAUCACGUUUAACACGUAUACCAUGCUAUAUCAGUGCGUCCAGCGCAUAUAAUUCACGGUUCGUAGGGAAUGAUAGACAAUGUUCAGAGAGAUGUGGCUGCUUCGUUGACCAUCGCUUCACACUUUGGUGAGGCGGAUCUGCGUCUGGUGUCGGGUGACGAGGAAUGCUUCGCCCGAUGAUGCUUUUCCUUUCUAGAGGACCCCCAACGCCGCGACCUGUGAACGCUGUGGGACAGAGGCGACUCGACUGACCCGACCUCCCUACUCAUGGCUAUCGGGUUCAUGUCAGGGUCGUCGGAAUCGCCUUUUGUGCGCGAAUCCCGGCUCGGCGACCGCGCGCUAGAAAGUCCCGGUGAGUCGAUAUUUAUCCGCUUUCUGGCGUCUUCGGUGCAACUGCCGGCUGCAGUCUUAGUGGUAUCAGCUGAUGUCUGCUCAUCGAGGGGAGGACCAGGAGGUGCCGAUUUCGCAGAAGACAUCGCAGAAGUGUCGCUCGAAUAAGCGUUCGCGACUUCUGCUCUUGCCGAUGGCCCCUGCGAGUGCCCAUUUGUGAUUGGGCGAAAGGCGAUCAUUUCCGGGCUGGAAGUGACGACGCCUCCGCCACCUGGUGCAGAGCGUCGAUGAAUGACGCUGCCAUUGGUAGCGACGCCAUUCACAGUUGCCUUGGACGAGUCGGCCGGUGCCACGACGCCGUUGAUGGUGGGUUUCUCUCCACUGGAGGCGAAGCCGAGGUUGUCGUUUCCCUCGGAAGAAAUGUCGUAACGGGCCUUCUUCGAUUUUCCCAGCUCGAUCAUGUGCUCAACGUCGUAGUCGUCCUGAACAGCGAAAAGGCAGAAAGAAAAAGAAGAUGAAAUAAGUCGUUAGUGUGCAUACGAAAGUCAAUCUCUUUGCACCAAUUGCUCUCUCAACGCGUCUAGCGAGAUUCUUCAACUAACCUCAGUGGCAGUCGUAAGCUCGGAAGAGAUCAUUGGUUUCGUUGCACACAUAUUAGCAGCACAAACACAACAGGCAAGAAAAAAAAAAAAAAAAAAAAAACAGGGGCACGGCACUCUUACAUCACAAUGCGCGUUCUGGCCUACGCUAUACUGGGCAGAAAACUAUAACCUAGCCGGUCGGUCCGUCCAUAUGUAAAUACGAAAGUGCAUAUGAAAACGGCCACACAGCUUCAACGCACAUGCCUUGAAGCAGAGCAGAACGUUUCAGCAGAACAGACUAGUUUGGCACGAAGUUGCCGCCCACUGCUACCGCCUACAUUCUAGGCAGUUACUUGGACUGCGCUGUCAAUACGCUGAGCGAAAGCAGUCUGGUAUCGGGUAGAAGCGACAACGCCGAUACGGCAACAGUACUUCAAGAAACUGCAAUAGAAAUUUAGAUUGAGAGCAAUGAUUAGCGCUGAAGACAGACUCCUACUGCACAAGCGCUAGUAUUACUGCCCCGUUGCUGCAGAGGCGGUAUUGGAAAGGGCUAGGGUUGCGAUUGUGGUGUUGUUGGUAUGCCAUCUUCGAAUGCAAAUGUAGUACAAACGAGAUAAGGAAGCGGCAAGAGCCCGUGAACACGCAGACACGGUACUAUAAAAAUCGAAAGGCGUUAAUGGAAAUCGUAGGGCAGCAAUGCUGCAUGCCAAAACGAUUUAGUGUAGUGCCCCAUUCUUGCCACUGGUAUACAACGUUAUACAGUCACCAUCAACUGGCAACAGUAUACGCGUUUGGUGUUCCUUGCUGAGCGGUUAACCUAGGAGGCCCGGUGUAGGGAAGAGUAAUAAGAAAAAGUUGUGCAGAUCCCACGCACUGUGGCAAUCGAUGUUAUGCGAAUAAUAUUGCAGGCUAACCAGCAUUGUUUGAGGGUCUGCAAAGCGUCACCUCGUGGGCCAACAUGUUUUUGUAUAAUGAGUAGUUGUGUUCAGAAGUACCGAAACUUGCGCGAGUUAGUAUGCAUUUAUAUUUAAGAAAGUUCCAAGCAGCGCGAAAAGACGCUGACAGAGGGCGAAUGCUUGUCCGGUCUUUUUUCUCUGCCCUUUGUCUGCGCCUUUCGUGAUGCUUGGAGCUUUCUUAAACAUGAAUGGUGUGUGACACGAGCGUACGUGUCUGUGACGAGAGCAGGAAGACGACGACCACAUUGAUGAUGAUCGUAUGACGACAAUGGCAUGAUUUCUACUGUGGCCGUUGACGUGCCAUUAUAGAUGGUGAUUGUUGGGUUCUGCAUAAAUAUUUAAUGGGCGUAAGCGAGAGACAUACCGUUCGGCUCUGCGCCCGUGGCAAAGUUCUGCCAAUGUAUAAAAUUUCGAUUGCCAUUAACCAACGAGGCUGCAAGGCAGUUGAUGCGCCUUCUAAGAGGUGCGAGCCCUGCUGAGUCGGCUUACUGCUUCCUUAUGUUCAGCAAGAUUUUUUUUCUGUUCUGUGCUUUACAACACAAGUCUGAGUAACAAGCUACAUAAAAUGGUGAACUAUGGAAUAAAAUUGCUACAAAAUCAGGAGUUGGCCGUGAGUAGAAACCUUUUUCUCUCUUUGCCUGGGAUGUUGUCAUCCAGAUUUUAUCCCAUUGAUAGUAUGGACUAUCUACUAGCAGCUAUUGCCGCCUUCUAACGUAAGUUCUCGCCAACAGAACCCAGCAUCUUGCUUCCUAUCAGAAAUUCGUAGCUGAAACAACCCCGAUCGUGGCAUGCAGUAUGUGAACGUAUUUCAGCUCUAAGCGCAGCCAAUACUGUUUCAUACUGACGCUAUUCUGGGGUACUAAGCACGUCGUAAAACCGACGCAGUUUGUCGGUGCUCAGUGUUAGCACGCUGCGGGUGGGAAGUUCGCUGAUGCCACCUCAGUCAAGAAACAAAAAGUGAGUGCGAGGACUGUUUGUAUCAAAACGCCUUUCUGGGUGUUUUUUAAGGAGAUUAAAUAAUGACCACGUCUAUCAAGUGUGGCAUUCCUUUAUCAAAACAUUUUGUGCAUGCCUUGAUCCCAUGCUCCGCGUGAACGCUAUCAUGAGUGGCCGGCGCGUCUCGCUACGCGAAGACCAACACACGCUAGUGUGGUAAUAUAAGUUUUCUCUUUCUGUUUUAUCUAGGGGUCAAGAUUCUCGAAAGGCAGCCGUCAAUUGCAAGAAAACGCAAUGGGAAGGCGAAGCCACAUGCUGUGCGAUUCUACGGGCAACACUGUACUGCCUUGGCUUCACAUAAGAAACCAAAUUAAAACACACGUGUUUCUGAAAAA